GACGAACGCUGGCGGCGUGCUUAACACAUGCAAGUCGAACGGAAAGGCCCUGCUUUUGUGGGGUGCUCGAGUGGCGAACGGGUGAGUAACACGUGAGUAACCUGCCCUUGACUUUGGGAUAACUUCAGGAAACUGGGGCUAAUACCGGAUAGGAGCUCCUGCUGCAUGGUGGGGGUUGGAAAGUUUCGGCGGUUGGGGAUGGACUCGCGGCUUAUCAGCUUGUUGGUGGGGUAGUGGCUUACCAAGGCUUUGACGGGUAGCCGGCCUGAGAGGGUGACCGGCCACAUGGGGACUGGGAGACGGCCCAGACUCCUACGGGAGGCAGCAGUGGGGAAUAUUGCACAAUGGGCGGAAGCCUGAUGCAGCAACGCCGCGUGCGGGAUGACGGCCUUCGGGUUGUAAACCGCUUUCGCCUGUGACGAAGCGUGAGUGACGGUAAUGGGUAAAGAAGCACCGGCUAACUACGU
rnacentral:rRNA from 1 species